rnacentral:rRNA from 1 species
CAAUAGCGUAUAUUAAAGUUGUUGCGGUUAAAAAGCUCGUAGUUGGAUUUCUGUUGGGAACGACCGGUCCGCCCAUUGGGUGUGUAUCUGGCUUGUUCUCGGCAUCUUCUUGGUGAACGUUGCUGCACUUGACUGUGUGGAGCGCUACCCAGGACUUUUACUUUGAGGAAAUUAGAGUGUUUCAAGCAGGCAUAUGCCUUGAAUACAUUAGCAUGGAAUAAUAAGAUAGGACCUCGGUUCUAUUUUGUUGGUUUCUAGAGCUGAGGUAAUGAUUAAUAGGGAUAGUUGGGGGCACCUGUAUUGCGUUGUCAGAGGUGAAAUUCUUGGAUUUACGCAAGACAAACAGCUGCGAAAGCGUCUGCCAAGGAUGUUUUCAUUAA